CCCACCCCCACCGUCCUUGUCCACAGCCGCCGCCCCCACCCCACCGUCGAUCUCGCCCACGGCGGCCGCCACCACCCCGCCGUCGUCUUCGCCCACGGCAGCCAGCCCCACCCCGCCGUCGUCCUCGCCCGCGGUGGCCGCACCACCCCACCGUCGACCUCGCCCCCGGCCGACGCCCUCCUCCGUAUCCUUCUGACCCCAAGGCUGAGGUCGUUGCCUUCUAUCUCCCCUGUGUGUGCGCGUACAUCGUCGGCAAGCGUGAGGAGGGGUUUUUGUAGUUGCUUCUUCGCCUUCCCCCAUCUCACGUCCCCAUCGUCUCGCCACGUCUCUCACCUUGCCCCUCCAUGAUGCAUUGCGGAACUAUUUCUGGAGGCUGUCGGCGCCGCAUUAGAUGCGGGAUGGUGUUCCCCUGCUCCGUUGUGCUUCAGGAUAUGCAGUGUAUGCAUGUGAAGACGUGAAGAUGUUGACUCUUUUUCCUUGCUAGCUGCUUCAUGAUAUGCAGUGUAUGCGCUGCUUUCAGGAGACAAUGAGUCCGGAACAGAUGAGUAAGAAUCGUAGCUGGAUGGUUUCAUAGUUGGAUUUCUACCAGUCAAACAGAUUCAAGUCCUCUGGCUAUUUUUCUGCAAGUAUAUUUCCUAAUAAGCAUCUCUGAAUUGUCAAGUUGUGAAGAAAAAAGGAUAUCACAUUGCUCGAGGCAUGAAACCUAGUGCCAGAUUAUACAGUUUCAUAUAGUUUUCUGGUUUUAUUCAUAUAUAGUUUUCUGUGGUGCCUAUGUAUUUAAAUUAGUGGGUGCUGCCAGGUAGUGUGUUGCUUAUGUAGCUUUGUGCUGGCUGGCUAUAUUUAUGUAGGUGAUGCUGCUGAUCAUGAACCUAGGUAACAUAGAAAUGUGUGUAUUUUGUCGUCA